AGAUUAUGAUGAAAGUGAUGUCAAAACGGAGUUUUAGUUACAAAAGCUGUUGGAUGAGAAAAAGAGAAAGUGAAAUCUACACCGAAAAAGUCUUGCUGCAGUUUUAUCGAUUUUUCAGUGUUGCAAAUGGAGAGAUUUUUGCCUGCCGGAAAAAAUUGCACACACACUGGCACAACCUACUACGCACACACACAUGCACGCCCAUACACACGCAAUUGCAAUCGUAAACUAUUUUUACACAUUAUUGUUGUGGUUUUUUGCGUAAAUUUAGCAACCCCGCAGACACAGACACACACACGCACAGUCACCAAAGUGCCAAGUUGGUAGAAAAAAACCAAUUUUCUUCCUCAACUUUUUUUUUCGGGCUGCAAAUUUGGUACCCUCAAACGCACACACACACACACAGAAGCGUAGAAAAUCUGGCUGGGCACCGAGAAAAACGUAAAUUCGCCAUUAAAAAACUAAUUUCCCUAGCACUUUUCAUAUUUUUCCAUCACAGCAUUGUUCGCGGCACACUUUCUGCAUAUUUUCGUUCCGAAUUUGAGUUAAAUAAUAGUCCUAUUCAAAGCGAAAGAGAAUUUUCUGGACCAGCCACACGUACCACAC
rnacentral:sRNA from 1 species